rnacentral:rRNA from 1 species
GUGGGGAAUCUUGCGCAAUGGGCGAAAGCCUGACGCAGCCAUGCCGCGUGAAUGAUGAAGGUCUUAGGAUUGUAAAAUUCUUUCACCGGGGACGAUAAUGACGGUACCCGGAGAAGAAGCUCCGGCUAACUUCGUGCCAGCAGCCGCGGUAAUACGAAGGGGGCUAGCGUUGCUCGGAAGUACUGGGCGUAAAGGGCGCGUAGGCGGACAGCUUAGUCAGAGGUGAAAGCCCAGGGCUCAACCUUGGAAUUGCCUUUGAUACUGGCUGUCUUGAGUUUGGGAGAGGUGAGUGGAACUCCGAGUGUAGAGGUGAAAUUCGUAGAUAUUCGGAAGAACACCAGUGGCGAAGGCGACUCACUGGCCCAAUACUGACGCUGAGGCGCGAAAGCGUGGGGAGCAAACAGGAUUAGAAACCCGGGUAGUCC